rnacentral:rRNA from 1 species
CCUACGGGGGGCUGCAGUGGGGAAUAUUGGACAAUGGGGGCAACCCUGAUCCAGCCAUGCCGCGUGUGUGAAGAAGGCCCUCGGGUUGUAAAGCACUUUCAGUGAGGAAGAACGCCUGGUGGUUAAUACCCAUCAGGAAAGACAUCACUCACAGAAGAAGCACCGGCUAACUCCGUGCCAGCAGCCGCGGUAAUACGGAGGGUGCGAGCGUUAAUCGGAAUUACUGGGCGUAAAGCGCGCGUAGGUGGCUUGAUAAGCCGGUUGUGAAAGCCCCGGGCUCAACCUGGGAACGACAUCCGGAACUGUCAAGCUAGAGUGCAGGAGAGGAAGGUAGAAUUCCCGGUGUAGCGGUGAAAUGCGUAGAGAUCGGGAGGAAUACCAGUGGCGAAGGCGGCCUUCUGGACUGACACUGACACUGAGGUGCGAAAGCGUGGGUAGCAAACAGGAUUAGAUACCCGAGUAGUC